AUUUGAAAUCUGGCGCAAGCCCGAGUUGUAAUUUGUAGAGGAUGCUUCUGGGUAGCGGCCGGUCUAAGUUCCUUGGAACAGGACGUCAUAGAGGGUGAGAAUCCCGUAUGUGACUGGCUUGCACCCUCCACGUAGCUCCUUCGACGAGUCGAGUUGUUUGGGAGUGCAGCUCUAAAUGGGAGGUAAAUUUCUUCUAAAGCUAAAUACCGGCCAGAGACCGAUAGCGCACAAGUAGAGUGAUCGAAAGAUGAAAAGCACUUUGGAAAGAGAGUUAAAAAGCACGUGAAAUUGUUGAAAGGGAAGCGCCCGCAACCAGACUUUGCGGCAGUGUUCGGCCGGUCUUCUGACCGGUUUACUCGCUGUUCGUGAGGCCAUCAUCGUCUGGGACCGCUGGAUAAGACCUUAGGAAUGUGGCUCCCCUCGGGGAGCUGUUAUAGCCUCUGGAGAUGCAGCUCGCCCCGGGCGAGGUCCGCGCUUCGGAAGUGAUGAUGGCGAAAUGCUUGUCGCCUCCCCCGUCUUGAAACACUGGACUUCAGGAGUCUAACAUCAUAUGCGAGUGUUCGGGUGUCACCCCCCCUACUAUGCACUGUACUCAAAUCGGAGGUGGGAACAUUUUUGAUGCACCAUCGACCGCAUCAAUGAUGUUCCUCGGAUGGAUUCUGAUUUCAUAGCAUAGUAUGGUUUUGACCCCGAAAAACGCUCGACCUAGGCCUGAGAUAUCCUUGAAGCCCGUGAUGUACAACUCUGGGCGAGGCACGACCCUUAUUCUGAUCGAUGCAUAAUCGAUCGCGCAGAAUCUUGCGCAUGAGGACGCGAAAGCACUCAAUCAGAGCAUAUAGUACGCCUCCUACCUGGACGCACAUUUCCCUACAGGUAAAGUGAACGUUCUCAAGCUAUUGAUGAGG
rnacentral:rRNA from 1 species